UUGAUGCAAGGUUAAGCAGUAAAUGUGGAGCCGUAGCGAAAGCGAGUCUGAAUAGGGCGUUUAGUAUUUGGUCGUAGACCCGAAACCAGGUGAUCUACCCUUGGUCAGGUUGAAGUUCAGGUAACACUGAAUGGAGGACCGAACCGACUUACGUUGAAAAGUGAGCGGAUGAACUGAGGGUAGCGGAGAAAUUCCAAUCGAACCUGGAGAUAGCUGGUUCUCUCCGAAAUAGCUUUAGGGCUAGCCUCAAGUGAUGAUUAUUGGAGGUAGAGCACUGUUUGGACGAGGGGCCCCUCUCGGGUUACCGAAUUCAGACAAACUCCGAAUGCCAAUUAAUUUAACUUGGGAGUCAGAACAUGGGUGAUAAGGUCCGUGUUCGAAAGGGAAACAGCCCAGACCACCAGCUAAGGUCCCAAAAUAUAUGUUAAGUGGAAAAGGAUGUGGCGUUGCCCAGACAACUAGGAUGUUGGCUUAGAAGCAGCCAUCAUUUAAAGAGUGCGUAAUAGCUCACUAGUCGAGUGACACUGCGCCGAAAAUGUACCGGGGCUAAACAUAUUACCGAAGCUGUGGAUUGUCCUUUGGACAAUGGUAGGAGAGCGUUCUAAGGGCGUUGAAGCAUGAUCGUAAGGACAUGUGGAGCGCUUAGAAGUGAGAAUGCCGGUGUGAGUAGCGAAAGACGGGUGAGAAUCCCGUCCACCGAUUGACUAAGGUUUCCAGAGGAAGGCUCGUCCGCUCUGGGUUAGUCGGGUCCUAAGCUGAGGCCGACAGGCGUAGGCGAUGGAUAACAGGUUGAUAUUCCUGUACCACCUAUAAUCGUUUUAAUCGAUGGGGGGACGCAGUAGGAUAGGCGAAGCGUGCGAUUGGAUUGCACGUCUAAGCAGUAAGGCUGAGUAUUAGGCAAAUCCGGUACUCAUUAAGGCUGAGCUGUGAUGGGGAGAAGACAUUGUGUCUUCGAGUCGUUGAUUUCACACUGCCGAGAAAAGCCUCUAGAUAGAAAAUAGGUGCCCGUACCGCAAACCGACACAGGUAGUCAAGAUGAGAAUUCUAAGGUGAGCGAGCGAACUCUCGUUAAGGAACUCGGCAAAAUGACCCCGUAACUUCGGGAGAAGGGGUGCUCUUUAGGGUUAACGCCCAGAAGAGCCGCAGUGAAUAGGCCCAAGCGACUGUUUAUCAAAAACACAGGUCUCUGCUAAACCGUAAGGUGAUGUAUAGGGGCUGACGCCUGCCCGGUGCUGGAAGGUUAAGAGGAGUGGUUAGCUUCUGCGAAGCUACGAAUCGAAGCCCCAGUAAACGGCGGCCGUAACUAUAACGGUCCUAAGGUAGCGAAAUUCCUUGUCGGGUAAGUUCCGACCCGCACGAAAGGCGUAACGAUUUGGGCACUGUCUCAACGAGAGACUCGGUGAAAUCAUAGUACCUGUGAAGAUGCAGGUUACCCGCGACAGGACGGAAAGACCCCGUGGAGCUUUACUGUAGCCUGAUAUUGAAAUUCGGCACAGCUUGUACAGGAUAGGUAGGAGCCUUUGAAACGUGAGCGCUAGCUUACGUGGAGGCGCUGGUGGGAUACUACCCUAGCUGUGUUGGCUUUCUAACCCGCACCACUUAUCGUGGUGGGAGACAGUGUCAGGCGGGCAGUUUGACUGGGGCGGUCGCCUCCUAAAAGGUAACGGAGGCGCUCAAAGGUUCCCUCAGAAUGGUUGGAAAUCAUUCAUAGAGUGUAAAGGCAUAAGGGAGCUUGACUGCGAGACCUACAAGUCGAGCAGGGUCGAAAGACGGACUUAGUGAUCCGGUGGUUCCGCAUGGAAGGGCCAUCGCUCAACGGAUAAAAGCUACCCCGGGGAUAACAGGCUUAUCUCCCCCAAGAGUUCACAUCGACGGGGAGGUUUGGCACCUCGAUGUCGGCUCAUCGCAUCCUGGGGCUGUAGUCGGUCCCAAGGGUUGGGCUGUUCGCCCAUUAAAGCGGUACGCGAGCUGGGUUCAGAACGUCGUGAGACAGUUCGGUCCCUAUCCGUCGUGGGCGUAGGAAAUUUGAGAGGAGCUGUCCUUAGUACGAGAGGACCGGGAUGGACAUACCUCUGGUGUACCAGUUGUCGUGCCAACGGCAUAGCUGGGUAGCUAUGUGUGGACGGGAUAAGUGCUGAAAGCAUCUAAGCAUGAAGCCCCCCUCAAGAUGAGAUUUCCCAACUUCGGUUAUAAGAUCCCUCAAAGAUGAUGAGGUUAAUAGGUUCGAGGUGGAAGCAUGGUGACAUGUGGAGCUGACGAAUACUAA
rnacentral:rRNA from 1 species